AUUGAACGCUGGCGGCAUGCUUUACACAUGCAAGUCGAACGGCAGCGCGGGCUUCGGCCUGGCUGCGAGUGGCGAACGGGUGAGUAAUGCAUCGGAACGUGCCCAGUAGUGGGGGAUAGUCCGGCGAAAGCCGGAUUAAUACCGCAUACGACCUGAGGGUGAAAGCGGGGGACCGAAAGAACUCGUCCUCUUGGAGCGGCCGAUGUCGGAUUGGCUAGUUGGUGGGGUAAAGGCUUACCAAGGCGACGAUCCGUAGCUGGUCUGAGAGGACGACCAGCCACACUGGGACUGGGACACGGCCCAGGCUCCUACGGGAGGCAGCAGUGGGGAAUUUUGGACAAUGGGGGCAACCCUGAUCCAGCCAUGCCGCGUGCGGGAAGAAGGCCUUCGGGUUGUAAACCGCUUUUGUUCGGGAAGAACUCCUCUGGGCUAAUACCCCGGGGGGAUGACGGUACCGGAAGAAUAAGCACCGGCUAACUACGUG
rnacentral:rRNA from 1 species